AUUUUAUUGAAUGAGAAAUCUCCAUAAAAGGAGAAGAGGAAACACUCCAUUAAAGGAGGAAAAUACUCCAUAAUAGGAGGAAGAAAACACUCCAUUAAAGGAGGAAAUGAGAAACCUCCAUGAAGGAGGGAUUGGAAGAUAUUACAAUCCAAUAACUACAAUGCCUACAUGUGCUGUAUUUAUAGAGAGAAAGUGACUAACUAACAACUACUAUCUAACUAACUAUAACAGCUGGCUGAAUCUGUGGAAGGCUGGAGAAUGAAUCUGAUCCGUUGAAUAAGAUGUCUGGGAUCUAGAAUCUGGUUGAGCUAGAAGGAAUAUUUUGGUGUAAUCUGCUGGAAUAUUCUGAUAGAUAUAUUGUCUUCUUCGCACUUGCUUUCUUUACAGGCCCGACACUAUUUUCUUUCAUGGUCGAGAUUUUCGCUGGUUGAAGUUUGUUUCAUUUUUCUAGUUUUCCCUAUUGAAGCUUCCUCAUUUGAAAUCAAUUCACAAUCGAGGCUCCUUCUUAAAGACAUCGAAGAAUCGAGUUUGUGUAUGGGUUAGGGCUUUGAGGUGAGAAUGUUUGCAACUAUAAAAGAACAAUGAAGCCAAUAUGGGUCCGAUGAUAAAUGGUCUAUCUGUGGAGAUUGUGAAAGGAUGGAAAUUGGGAAUGUUGGUUUUACGCGUCUGGCUCUUGAAAAAUGACUCUUGGUUUUUUUCUCUCCCCAAUUGAAUGUGAGUUUUGAAUUUUAACAAUUAUAAAAUGAGAACGAAGGCUGAAAAUGGUUAGGAAUGGUGAAGUUGUGGGUAGAGAAGACAAAUGAUGGUUUUCUCAAUAGGGCAGGGGCUUAGAAAAUGAUGCUUGGAUUUUUUCUUUCUCCAGUUGAAUCGUGACUUGAUUUGCUAUCCAUCUUCAAUGUUCAACAUAGCGCAGAGGUGAUUUGUGAGAGUUAAAAGCCUUAGUGGCGUUGCAACAGCAGGCUCAUUAGGGUGUGGCCAGUCGAGAGUUGGUGUGUGACAGCAGCGGUGGCAAGUUGUGAUAUUUAGUGAUAGAGGUGGCUUUGUGAGGUUUUGAAGGAAUGAAGGCUGCAAUGGUUACGAAAGAAGAAAAAUUAAUUUUGUCGGUAGAAAAUUACUUUUGGACUAUAAUUCAUUGUUUGAAACUUUUUGAGUAUCAGCAUAAAAUGAAAUAUUUAGGACUGC
rnacentral:lncRNA from 1 species